UACGUAGGGGGCAAGCGUUGUCCGGAAUCAUUGGGCGUAAAGAGCGCGUAGGCGGCCCAGUAAGUCCGCUCUGAAAGUCAGAGGCUCAACCUCUGAAUGCGGGUGGAUACUGCUGGGCUAGAGUCCGGAAGAGGCGAGUGGAAUUCCUGGUGUAGCGGUGAAAUGCGUAGAUAUCAGGAGGAAUACCGGUGGCGAAAGCGACUCUCUGGACGGCAACUGACGCUGAGGCACGAAAGCGUGGGGAGCAAACGGG
rnacentral:rRNA from 1 species